CUGUUAAGUCCUCCAAGAGCUGAAGGAGGAAAAAACUCCGGGAGCCAUCAGAAGUCAUUUAGCAAAUACUAGAGGAGCUGGAGAGAACACAGGAGACCGACGCAGUGGCUGUGCAGGAGUCGGCGUUUCCAGGAGGAAGCAGUGGCUCACUGCCCGCCUCUGCCUCAGCAAGGGAGGCGAUGCAAGCAGCGGAGUAAGAGCAAAGAACAUGCCCCUGCACCUUGGGGACACCGGCUGGAAACCGGCGGGUACCCCUUGCGCCCGGUCAGCCCCACCAGCCACCCCGGCAUCCCUGACAGCUGGGACCAACACCAGCAGCCGCAGCCCCCGCCUGAAACACCGGCACGUCCACCCUCCAUGGCCCCCACUGCCCCUGGUUCCCCCAGCCCAGGCCCCAUCUGAAAAGGCACCCCUAACUCCCGAGCCCGCUGGUCCGGCCCUCUGCCAAGGGCUGGAGGCGGCCCCGCCAGGGUAGGGGUUGAAGGUGGGGAGACAGAGCCCCCCACCCACAGCUUCGGGGGGCAGCCCUUUCACCCCCCAUGAAGAGGGAGAGGCUACUCUUUUAGUGCCAGCUUCCCAACAGUUACUAAUUUGUGGUGGGACAAUAAAUCGUGCAGCAGACCAUAUGUA